rnacentral:rRNA from 1 species
GACGAACGCUGGCGGCGUGCUUAACACAUGCAAGUCGAACGAAGUGGCGAACGGGUGAGUAACGCGUAAUCAACCUGCCCUUCAGCGGGGGACAACAGGUGGAAACGACUGCUAAUACCGCAUACGGAAGGAGGGGAUUGCGUCUGAUUGGCUAGUUGGGGGGGUAACGGCCCACCAAGGCGAUGAUCAGUAGCCGGGCUGGUGGGAGGAAUGGCCAAAAUGGGACCGAGGCACGGCCCCGAAUCCUACGGGAGGCAGCAGUUGGGAAUCUUCCGCAAUGGACGAAAGUCUGGCGGAGCAACGCCGCGUGAGUGAUGACGGCCUUCGGGUUGUAAAGCUCUGUUAAUCGGGACGCGGUACCGGAAUAGAAAGCCACGGCUAACUACGUGCCAGCAGCCGCGGUAAUAC